AGGAAAUCAGAUUUGAACAAGGAAGCUACAUUGUCCAAUAGAUUUUGAGUAGGUUUAAGCAUCGCUACAGUUGGGGUCUUGAAUGGCUUGGUGCCUGCUCUACAAUGUAUUGUCAGGUUGGACAGAAUUGACAGCUUGACAACGAUGAGUCUUCCUAUCAACUGUUGGCAUUUAUAAAAACAGCAUUCCUAGAAGAUAAACAAACAAACAAAUCAAAACAGAUGAGCGAAGACAUGUUUGCUUCAUUGCUGAUGUGAUGGGGAACAUCCAGCUCCUUAACAGUAAAUAUAUUACUUGUAAGGUUUAUAUGUGUAUUAUUUCCACUAAAGAAAGAGUCACUUGUAGUUAGAGUUUUAAGGACCCACGGUGAGCUAUUGGGGGUUUCCAAAGGCCUUUUUUAUGUUGAUAAGUUACUUUUUUUUAAAAAAAGAACUCUGCAACAUUGACAAGAUAGAGCUUAUCUUUUAGUUAUAAAAAAAUCUAACAAACAUAAAAGGAUAGAAGUCAGGUAAUCAUAAGAAUUAGGAAAAUGGCCAAAAUAUAACUGAAAUAUCUGCAAGCACUAAGAAAUUUAAUUAAGAAAUUAAAAAGCAAUGAAAAAUUAGUAAUAGAACUAGCAAACAUCUGGAGUGAGAUAACAUCUAAGACUUAGUGUAUUACAGUCCAUCGGUGCUGCUAAGACUCUGACAUUUUAAAAAACUGAAUUAUUUCUUUAGCUAAAAUAUUUUCAAUUUAUCCUUUUUCUUCCCUCCAAUGCUCCCUUGCAUGCCCCCUCUCACUCCCUCUGAAAUGGAUGACCUCUUUUUCUUUGAUGACUAUUGUUAUAUACAUACACAUACAUAAGUGCAUAAAUGUGUAAAUACAGCCUGUUGUAUCUGUUUAGUAUUGAUUGUAUUUAUAUGACUUCAGUGCUGACCAUUUGCUAAUGGAUAACCAAUUAGAUGGCUCAUUCCUAGGAGAGACUAUAUCUCCCUCUCUCAGAAGGUUUUAGUUGCCUGUAGCUCUUUGGCUAAGGGGUGGGUCCCUGUAAGAGUUCCCUCUUCCACAUUAACAAAUCUUUUGGUAUUGUUAUUGUUCAGGUCUUAUUUAGGCAUCCAUAUUGUUGAAGCAUCAUAUGCAUUGCUUGAUCAUUUCUUGGAGAUACAAUAUCACAACAGACUUCCCGGUACCCUGGCUCUUGUAGUCUUUCUACCUCAUCUUCCAAGAUAUUCCCUGAACUAUCAGUGCACCAACUGUGUUGUAGAUGUGUCUGAGGCUGGAUGCCUCACAAUCAGCUUCUCUCUGUAUUUUGAUCUUUUGUGGUUUUCUGUUAUGGUGUCUAUCUAAUUCAAAGAGAAAUUUCUUUGAUGAGGGUUGAGAGCUAUCCUUACCUGUGGUUGACAUGUUUUACAAAGCA